rnacentral:rRNA from 1 species
UACGAAGGGUGCAAGCGUUACUCGGAAUUACUGGGCGUAAAGCGUGCGUAGGUGGUUCGUUAAGUCUGAUGUGAAAGCCCUGGGCUCAACCUGGGAACUGCAUCCGAAACUGCCUUGCUAGAGUAUGGGAGAGGGAAGCGGAAUUCCGGGUGUAGCGGUGAAAUGCGUAGAUAUCCGGAGGAACACCGGUGGCGAAGGCGGCUUCCUGGACCGACACUGACGCUGAGGCGCGAAAGCUAGGGGAGCAAACGGG